AGCGAACGUUUGCGGCGGGCUUAACACAUGCAAGUCGAACGGGCUGUUCCUUCGGGGGCAGUCAAUGGCGCACGGGUGCGUAACACGUAGGUAAUCAACCCUCUGGUUGGGGAUAACACUUCGAAAGGAGUGCUAAUACCCGGUAUGGCGCAGCGGUCUUCGGAUCGCGGCGAGAAAGACCCGCAAGGGUUGCCAGAGGACGAGCCUGCGGCCCAUCAGCUAGUUGGCGAGGUAACGGCUCACCAAGGCGAAGACGGGUAGCUGGUCUGAGAGGAUGAUCAGCCACACUGGAACUGAGACACGGCCCAGACUCCUACGGGAGGCAGCAGUGGGGAAUUUUGGACAAUGGGCGCAAGCCUGAUCCAGCAAUGCCGCGUGUAGGAAGAAUGCCCUAUGGGUUGUAAACUACUUUUAUUGGGGAAGAAACCCUUCUACGUGUAGAAGGCUGACGGUACCCAAGGAAUAAGGACCGGCUAACUCCGUGCCAGCAGCCGCGGUAAAGUCUAGCA
rnacentral:rRNA from 1 species